rnacentral:rRNA from 1 species
UACAGAGACUGCAAGCGUUGUUCGGAUUCAUUGGGCGUAAAGGGCGCGUAGGCGGCCACCGCAAGUCGACUGUGAAAUCUCCGGGCUUAACCCGGAAAGGUCAGCCGAUACUGCGGGGCUAGAGUGCAGAAGGGGCAACUGGAAUUCUCGGUGUAGCGGUGAAAUGCGUAGAUAUCGAGAGGAACACCUGCGGCGAAGGCGGGUUGCUGGGCUGACACUGACGCUGAGGCGCGAAAGCUAGGGGAGCGAACGGG